rnacentral:tRNA from 1 species
AAAAUCCGUCGACUUUAGAAAUCGUGAGGGUUCAAGUCCCUCUAUCCCCCCAAAAAGACCGAUUUGACUAUUUCUCCUACCCUCUCUUUUUUUUAGUGGUUCCAAAUUUGUUCUCUUUCUCAUUCAUUCUACCUUUUUACAAACGUAUCAGAGCAGAAUUUUUUUCUUUUAUCACAAUCACAAGUGGUGUGGUAUAUAUGAUAUACGUACAAAUGAACAUCUUUGAACAAAGAAUCCCGAUUCACAAUUCAUAUCAUUGCUCAUACUGAAACUUAUAAAUUAUUCUAUUCAAGAAAUCUAAUUCCACGCUCAAGACUUUUAAUACUUUUUUUAUCUUUUUUAAUUGACAUAGACCCCAGUCAUCUAGUAAAAUAAGGAUGAUGCGCCGGUAAUGGUCGGGAUAGCUCAGCUGGUAGAGCAGAGGACUGAAAAUC